AUUAAUCAACAGGCUGGAAAACCCAGAACUCUCCUCUUCGUGACGUCGUCUAUCAUACCACAGCAGAGAGUGAGAGGGGGAGUCAGACCGUGCGGGCGCAGCAGCGGGUUGGACGAAGAGUUCCUCACCUCGCACGAAGAAACACUGUGUGAACUAACAGACGGACAAAAUAACCAAACAACUUAACUGGUUUCUUUGAUGAUCUGUGCCGUGCCGUGUCGUGCCCGCUGGAGAAACAGAGCCUGCACAGCUUCGAGAAACGAGAGAGAACAACGGUUUACAGAUCGGUGGAUAUUCCGGCAGCUCUUCCUCACAGAAACCAUGGUGGCAGCCAUCCUGAAAAUGUAUUUCUUUGGAACAGCACUUUCCGUCCUUGCAGUCCUUUAUGAAAUUGCGGACUCCGUUGGUGGUCUCAUGCACGUGCAGGACCAUCACUACUUACAGGAGCUGAACCAACAGACAGAGAGGGACAUUUCUUCAAACAACUGGAGAGGGCGGCCCGUGACUAAAAACAUUGGCUCAUGAGAAGAUCGUCAUGUUGUAGUUUUUGGACAUGUUCUGCAACUGUCUGGAAGGACAUGGGAUGUUCACUUAUGUGGAUUUAUGGUCCAAAUGGUUCUUUCUGUUUGGGCACUUUUUUGUAGCCCAUUGUCUGCUGUCAUGUCUUGUAGCAGCUAUUGUGUAAAACCACUACUGAACACAGAACACAUUCCUUGUGUUAAAAGUACACAUUUUGUAUAUAAUUUUCUAAGCAAAGUGAAUGAAAACAUUGGGGGAUUUUUGAUGAAUGUUUUUGAUGUGUGUAAGUUUAUUGCAGCAUGUAGAAGUCGGAGUACAAAGUGUGCGUUUCAGUUUGGUAGUGAUCCAGCAACUGAACUUGGAGUCAAAAAGAGAAAUGCAGGCUGCCAUAAAACUAACAGGUCUUAACAAAACAUGACUUCUCUAGAAAAUG